CAAUAGCGUAUAUUUAAGUUGUUGUAGUUAAAAAGCUCGUAGUUGGAUUUCGGGUUGGCUUCAGCGGUCUCGCUUUGCGUUUGUACUGCUGCAGCCUACCUUCUUGUCGGGGACGGGCCUUCGGGCUUAAUUGCUUGGGGCCCGGAGUCGACGAUGUUACUUUGAGUAAAUUAGAGUGUUCAAAGCAAGCCUACGCUCUGAAUAUAAUAGCAUGGGAUAACACGACAGGACUCUGGCCUAUCGUGUUGGUCUGUAGGACCAGAGUAAUGAUUAAGAGGGACAGUCGGGGGCAUUCGUAUUCCGUUGUCAGAGGUGAAAUUCUUGGAUUUACGGAAGACGAACAUCUGCGAAAGCAUUUGCCAAGGAUGUUUUCAUUGA
rnacentral:rRNA from 1 species